rnacentral:lncRNA from 1 species
UUUCACCCUGUGAUGCAGGAGAUGGAACUCAAGGCCUCCAGCAUUCCGGGCAAGUUCUCUACUACUGAGUCAAGCCCCCUUCACCCUCUACCUCCCACCCCAACCUGUAGUCGAUGCCAACCAAUCAAUGCAUAGCUGAGAGAGUGGGAACCCAGGAACCUGAGCCUUGGGGGAAGAGUUUCAAUGAAGACACCCUGGUUGAAUGCUUGUCUCUUACUGCCUGUGCACUGUCUGGCUGUGGGCUCAGUAUUAAUUCCCGUCUCCUACAAGAAGCUUCUCUGGCAUCUUUUGCUGGAAGAAAACGUAGAAGCCCUGAUGGAAACCAGAGGACGGAAUUUGUCACCGAGAGAAAGAUUUACAAGUUGUCUGAUGACCUUGCAGGAGAGACCUGGACCUGAGACUGUGGUGGCUGGGGGACCACACCUUGGCCAGACUACAUGACGGUGAAUGGCCGAACCUGGCCUGUUGUGGCACCGGCUGUGAUUAUAAGCGAGAUGCAAGAGAAAGAGCCGUGUGGUGAGGCUGGUAUGUGCACACACACAAAAUGCACGAAGGAAAACCUGCUUCCUCCUGCCAAAGGGCAAACAAAGGAGUGGCCUAGGAAGAGAGAAGACUUCAGACAAUUAACUACUCCUGCCAAGUACCACAGGAAACGUUGCUCGCUCUUUUAGCUCUGUCAGCAAAGGCUGAGUGAGAAACCCAAACUUCACCUUCACCAGGGCUAAAGUUUGCCC